CACCUUGAACCGUAACACUGGAAAGACGGUAUUAAGCACAACAGAGAAUCUCCCGGAUCUGAUCAUUGAAAAUACAGGAAACUACCGUGAAUUAUAUUAUUCACUUGAAUCUCCGGUUGGUUUUUUUUGUUUGAUCGAAGGAAGAUUGCAUCUACGAUGGCUAGCUUUGCCCAAUAGAACUGUGGAUGGUGUGGAUACGGCGUGGCCAGCCGUGAACACCGCCAUACCGUGAAGAUCCAUUCAUAACAGAUAAGACAUAGAAAUAGAUACACACUAACCUACCCGGGUAGUAGUAAGAGAAACACACAUAUCCGGAUAUCCCCCCCUUGAACUCGACAUUCCUCGACCGAACAACUCCUUCCCAAGGAGUACUGUAGCUGGGGAAUCCAGCUACAAAGGACUUAUUCUUUUGAUUUUGGUUGUUUGUUUGUUAUUUUCAAAAGCUAUAUUUUGUACCAAAUGUGAAUGUUUAUGAUGAAAGGCAUUAGAAUAACUCAUCUAUUCAACUAACACCAACUCCCUUCGUGAGUCAUUAGUGUUUAACUUCUUUAAGGACCUAGAGUGAUGCUAGCAUCCUAUUUGCCCCUUCCGGCUAACACCACGGGUGCUACAUAUACAUAUAUAUAAACAUAGACCUGUUGGUUGGGGUGACUCCCUAAUUGGAAGUCAUUAAUUACAAUUUCAACCCUAUACUUGACAAAGAGACAUAACUUGUACAUCACUGCCCAGCCUAAACUCUCAGUGUGUAUUACUUUUGUCUGCUGGUGUCUCCCCAGCCUAAACUCUGUGUUUACCAUGUUCUCAGUGCCAUUAAUAAAUGUGGAAAAUGGUGGAAACUAGUUCAGGCACUGUACUGCAAAACAACUCAAACUUGUAUCGAAUUGGACAGUGUAAUCUUUACUACUGUUAUUUUAUUUAUUUACUGCAUCCCUAGUGUGUGACUAGUUUGAAUGUGUCUCAACGUUAAAGGUCCCAUGACAUGCUAUUUUAUGUAUUCUUUAAUAUAGGUAUUAGUGGGCAACUAACACAGUAUUCAAAGACGUUCCCGAAAUUCAGCCGUGGUGCAGAGUUACAGCCACUCCGAGCCAGUCGCACAUUGAGCUUCCCCCAAAUGCGCUGUUUUGGCGUCUGUAGCUAUAAUGCAAAUGAGGAGGAGCGAGGCGGGUCAAGGAGGAGGGUGGGGGUGUGGCCCUCAGCAGCUUGCAGCCACGGUACCAUGCACUCUGUUUACAGUGGAUGUAUCGCAAUGGCGAGGCGCACACAGCCUUUAGCUGUGUUCUGUAAAUAUUCUAGAACACACGGGAGUCCUGGAGCUCUAUAUCUAAAUAUUAUCAUACAGCCUACAUAGAUAUCUAUAUCAUAUAUUAUCACGGCCAAAAGCUGUGUGAGCCG